rnacentral:rRNA from 1 species
UACGAAGGGGGCUAGCGUUGCUCGGAAUUACUGGGCGUAAAGCGCACGUAGGCGGAUUGUUAAGUCGGGGGUGAAAGUCCUGGAGCUCAACUCCAGAACUGCCCUUUGAUACUGAGGAUCUUGAGUACGGGAGAGGUGAGUGGAACUGCGAGUGUAGAGGUGAAAUUCGUAGAUAUUCGCAAGAACACCAGUGGCGAAGGCGGAC